AGUGAACGCUGGCGGUAGGCCUAACACAUGCAAGUCGAACGGCAGCACAGUAAGAGCUUGCUCUUACGGGUGGCGAGUGGCGGACGGGUGAGGAAUACAUCGGAAUCUACUUUUUCGUGGGGGAUAACGUAGGGAAACUUACGCUAAUACCGCAUACGACCUACGGGUGAAAGCAGGGGAUCUUCGGACCUUGCGCGAUUGAAUGAGCCGAUGUCGGAUUAGCUAGUUGGCGGGGUAAAGGCCCACCAAGGCGACGAUCCGUAGCUGGUCUGAGAGGAUGAUCAGCCACACUGGAACUGAGACACGGUCCAUACUCCUACGGGAGGCAGCAGUGGGGAAUAUUGGACAAUGGGCGCAAGCCUGAUCCAGCCAUACCGCGUGGGUGAAGAGGGCCUUCGGGUUGUAAAGCCCUUUUGUUGGGAAAGAAAAGCAGCAGGUUAAUACCCCGCUGUUCUGACGGUACCCAAAGAAUAAGCACCGGCUAACUUCGUG
rnacentral:rRNA from 1 species